UAUCUGGAGGUGAAACAACAUUUUUAUUAUAAUGAAUGUUGUGAGUUAGAGCUCAGUGGGUGUAUGGAUGGGAAUGAAGUUGGAACCUGUCAAUCUUUGCAAAUCUUUAGGAUAGUGAUUGUUCUACUCAUUUCCAAGUGAAUUAACCCAGUGAAAACAACAACAAAAAAAUUGGGGCUUUUUUCGUCAAACUGUAAAAGAUUAUCUUGAUAUUAGAUUAGACUUCGACAUCAAAAGAGAAAGUGAAAGAAAUGCUCCUCUCACUUGGAAAAAAGAAACGUGCCCUGGUAGCUGUUUUAUACAGACAACACAGGUUUACAACUCAGUCAUAUUCAACAACAAGAGCAACAUCAUGGUCUGCCAGUUGACAGUGAUAGAACCUACAAUGGCUAGAACAGUAAUUAAUAUGGCUGAUACAUGGAAGAUGAAAGAUAUGACAGUGAAACAGCUAAAGAAGGACAUUUUUGAGAACCUAACUACUUCAGGUCUUCGUGAGGAGUCUGUGAGGCUGACAGUCAAAAGCAAGAUAAUGGAGGACAAUGAACCACUAUCAUCAUACCCUGUGGAUCACAUGUCUGUCAUUCACCUGGUGCUGCAGGUACAUGGGGGAUAGAGUGAAUAACCACCUUCCCCGUCUGGCAUUGAUACUUCUACCCUGCCAGUCCUUCUGUGGAGCCUGACUCAUCUUGAGGUUUCGUCUUCGGUUACGGAUGUUCUGUGGACUCUUCUACCUACUGUGAUUCAACAUUUCCAUUGUUUGCUCUUAGGGGGUUUUAAGUUGAUUCUCAGCGUGAGCAUUUUGUUAUUACUGCUGAUGCUAAAAGGGCUUUAUAAAAUCCAUAUCAUCAAUUGAUUGUGUGAUGAAGUCUAUUCCUGUUGGUCAUAUGGCCCCAGGUUGAGAAUGAUGGAAACAACUGAUGUCCAAAGGAACACACGUGCAUGAAUAAUAAAUACUUUGUUCAUUGAGAAAGUUAUUUGUAAAUGUUGGCAUGUAAAUUGAUGUAACCCAUUGAAGUGUAAUUUAGUUUUCUAUGGUAAUACUGCUGCUUUUAAAUUUCACUCCUGUCUCUGUAUGAAAAUAAAAUUAUACUGACAUAAUUCAACUUUCUCUUGUGUAUUAUUCUGUUGAUAUUUGAAAGACAAUAAUUAAUUAGAUUUGCCUUUGGCCAAUGGCGGCCUACCGUAGAACUCUGGAUGAUAUAAGUACAGUAAUCAUUGUGGUGGGAAACUCUAAAGAUGUUAUCUAGAAUGUAACUAAUGGGUGCUUUAUGAAUGUUUCUGUUAAACUUAUUCUGAAGCAUUAGUGAGCACCUCAUAAAAUUAAAUAUAUGCAGUUACUAUCGCUUAUUGUUAAGAAAGACAAGAAACAUCCACCUUAAUUUCUUUAAGCAGAAAUAACCACAACAUUAAUUUAUUUAACCCUACUGUAGAAAAUGGGAAUUUUUAACAUAUAACAGCUUGUGUGAAAGACCAAAUAUUUAACGGAUUAUAAUAUCUAAAGACAAGUUGAAAACCUGAAUAUCCCUUUUCUCCCAAACCAAGUUGUUUUCCAUUUUUUUGUGAGAAUAAUAAUUAAACGUGUGUUAAUUUCUAAAUGGUAAAUCAGUAUGUAUACACAUACUUUGAAAUAAAAGCUGACAAUCUAUAUUUUAACCUCAUAAUUACUGUCGGAUUUCCAAUCCAAACUUUUGAAACACAGACCAAAAAGAAAAAAAUGAAUUACUGUCACAAUACUUACAGAUGACACUAAGCUGUAUUGAAACAAUGAUGAGCCAUCUGCCUAAAACUGGUUCUCUGCCUACUGCCAAAACAGCGCUGACCCGCUGAGGCACAGACUCUACAAGAACCCUGAAGUUGUCCUCUGGUAUCUGGCACCAAGACAUUAGCAGCAGAUCCUUCAAGUCCUGUAAGUUGUGCAGAAGCUGUAGAUUGGACUGGUUGGUCCAGCACAUCACACAGAUGCUCAAUUGGAUUUAGGUCUGGGGAAUAUGGAGGCCAUGGCAACACUUUGAAGAUCUUCCUCAUUAUCUUCAAACCAUUACUGGACAAUGUGUGCAGUGUGGUAGGGCGUAUUUUCCUGCUGACAGACGCCACUGCCAUCAGGGAAUACUGUUGCCAUGCAUCAAGGGGUGUACCUGGUCUGUAACAAUGUUUAGGUGUCAAAUUGGCGUCCACAUAAAUGCCGGGACCCAGGGUUGCCAAGCAGAACAUUGCCCAGGGCUACACAAUCACUCAACCGGCUUGUCAUCUUCCCACAGUGCAUCCUGGUGCCAUCACUUCCCCAGAUAAACGGCACACAUGUACACGGCCAUCCACAUGAUGUAAAAGAAUAUGGGACUCAUCAGACCAGGUGACCUUCUUCUACUGCUCCAAGGUCCAGUUCUGACGCUCGUGUGACCAUUGUAGGCCUUUUGACUCUGAAAAGGGGUCAUCAUGGGCACACUGACCGGUCUUCGGCUACGCAGCCACAUACGGGUGCUAUACACUGUGUGUUGUGACACAUUCUUUCUGUAACCGUCAUUCAAAUGUUCUGUGACUUGUGCCACAGUAGACCUUCUGUCAGCUGUGCCACUGCUGAGAGCGUCCCACAAGCCUUGUCAUUUCAGAGAUGCUCUGACCUAGUCGUCUGGCCAUUACAAUUUGGCCCUGGUCAAUGUCGCUCAGGUCUUUACUCAUGCCCAUUUCUUUCUACAUCCAACCUGUUGACUAGGAGAACAGAUUGUUCCCCACCCAGACCUUCACGUUUCCUUAAGAACUGAUAAACAUUAAUUGUUUCACCUGUGAGUGCUCAUAAUGUUUUGGCUCAUCAGUAUAUCCUCCAUUUUCGUCUUGCAGCUGUUCUUGGUGCAUAUUCUGUUGCCUCUUUAAUACUGGCCUCCCUACUUUUGAUCCUCGGCCGCAAGCUGCUGUAACCGCCUUUGAGGUUCCAAUAGAUGGGAGGUGUGUAGGGGUGGGUUUGGCCCAGCUGGCUGCCAUCGGAAGUUUCCGGAAGCUACCAGGAUUCACUCUCGGGGGUAUUGGUGCAAUGCUGAUUUAUGGAAUGCAGGCGGAGUUUGUGCCACACUACUGAUACCGGUAAGAGAUAAAAACUGUGUUGGAGAUCCAGCCAGCGGGUCAAACAACCAGUCAGCCAGCCCACCAUCCUGCUAACAACUGCCUACAAGCCCUCUUGACCAAGCAUCCACCCAAAUCCACCGCCAUAUGCCUGCUAAAGCAAUAUGACCCAGCUGUCUUGGUAAAACGGGAAUAAACCGAUUUAGUGAUGCUUGACUCUGGUGCCUAAACCACCAAAACAGCACAGUCACAGCACAGUCACACUACUAGUCAUUCCCUCACUCCCCUGCCUUGGAGCUGUAACGUCUUCUCCGCGUGGCACAGCUGCUCCCCUUCCUCUUCGGUGCUUUAUAAAUUAAAAAGUGCAUUUAAAUACAGAGACUUCAAAAAUGUUCCACCUUUGGCGCCUACAACUCUGUUGUAGCUAUUGCAGUGUGGGUUGAUUAUCCUGCUUGUACAUUGGCAGAUCAGAUGUUUCUGUCAAUUUCAUAACCAAUUCUGUGGUUGUUGUCAGCAGCUUCUUAAAUAAAGACAAGUAAACCAGUUUCAAUGGCAGCCAUACUUGCUCAAACCAUGACACCCAGUCAACAACGACCUCUGCAGGUUCUUCUAGGGACUUUUAGCAAACUAACCUGGCCACCACUGUAUUUAGUUGAUGGAUCUGGCUGACACAUCCUCAUGUACCGAUCCACAUGUACUGAUUUGCCGAUCUCAUCAGUGCUUUUAUAUGUAAGGAUGUUCAAAUUAUUGUUUUUGGUCAGCCAAUGGGUAUUGGCUAUGUUUCUGAUGUUUUGGGGGGAAUUUUUCAGCCUUCCUUGACUUUCUGUCCAUUAUUCCGUCAAUUGAAAGGCCCACAAUCUUUCAGACAUUUGCAGUCAGUGGUCUAUCUUAAUGCAGACUUAAAAUAAAUAGAUGUUUUACCUGCAUAGGGUCUCCCACCAAAAGUCAUGAUCUCAUACAACAAGAUGCCAAAGGAUCAUACGUCACCCUUGAUGGUGAACUUCUCGCUGGCGAUUGCCUCUGGAGCUGUCCAUUUCAAAGGGAACAUGGCAUCCCCCACAGAUAUGUAACAGACGCCAGUCUGGUUAAAUGCUGUUGGCGUAGCUUUAAAAACCCUGGCGAGACCAAAGUCAGCCACCUUGCAGAUGUUGUUUUUGGCAACCAGAAUGUUCCUGGCAGCCAGGUCCCUGUGGAGGAAGUUCUUCAACUCCAGAUAGGCCAUUCCAGAAGCUACUUGGGCUGUGUUAUGGAAAUUUUGAACUACGGUGCAUUUGAGAAAUGCCUGUCUUUCCAUUGGCUGAUAUGUAAAUCUGUACUUUGAUUGUGACACACAUGUCUGUAUAAUAUCAGAGGAGUAUUAGGUAUUUGGGCCAUGUCCUCCUGCCUAGAAGAAGGAUGUAUUCUUUGUUGUCCUAUACAUGUAUGAAUGAGUUACUAGUUAAAGAUGCCGAGAGGGGUCUAGUGUUUGAAUAGGAGACAUCCUUGACCGGUACAGUGGGAUUAGAGGGGUACUCGUAAAUCUGUAUAAAUCCCUUUAGUGUCUCUGAUGACUAUCCAGACAUUGUGUCUCCUCAGGAGUUGAGAAGGAUAAGGUGGGGGGACAGCCCGCCCUUUGGGUAAACUCUUGUGACAAGACAGAUCUCAGCAUCUUACCACACCCCUUUUUCUAUGUAAUAAAUACGGAUUGUUCAUGUAUGGAUUUAGAGACUCCUCAAAUGAUUAUGUAUGUAAGCGUUUGACGCGUCUCUCAUAUUUGUAUAAUAGUUAAUAAAACUGUUAGAAUGUGCCAAGAGAACUUUGUCUCUGUUUCUUACUCCUUUAAGAGUGUCGAUACAUGGAAUUUCCAUCACAGCCGCCAUCUUUAUCUGGUCAGAAAGGCAUAUUCUUCUACCCCGGUCAACUGUACAACAGGACAAAAACCACAAUGAGAAUUUUUUUAUACAUUCAAUGACAUGAAGGGUAUCAUCUCCAUUUUCAGUUUUAUUUAGCAAGUGGAAACAUGAAAGAUUGCCCGGCUAUGUCUUUAGAGGCACUCUAACAGGGUGGGUAGAUACAGUAUUGGGUUCUUCACGUAUCCUUAUACGUGGU
rnacentral:lncRNA from 1 species